rnacentral:rRNA from 1 species
CCUACGGGAGGCAGCAGUGAGGAAUAUUGGUCAAUGGACGAGAGUCUGAACCAGCCAUGUAGCGUGAAGGAUGACUGCCCUAUGGGUUGUAAACUUCUUUUUUAUGGGAAUAAAAUGUUCCACGUGUGGGAUUCUGUAUUUACCUUAUGAUUAAGGAUCGGCUAACUCCGUGCCAGCAGCCGCGGUAAUACGGAGGAGCCGAGCGUUAUCCGGAUUUAUGGGGUUUAAAGGGAGCGUAGGUGGAUUGUUAAGUAAGUUGGGAAAGUUUGCGGCUAAAGCGUAAAAGUGCAGUUGAGACUGGCAGUCUGGAGUGCAGAUGCGGUGGGCGGAAUGUGUGGUGUAGCGGUGAAAUGCUUAGAUAUCACGAAGAACACCGAUUGCGAAGGCAGCUCACUAAUCUGCAACUGACACUGAGGCUCGAAAGUGUGGGUAUCAAACAGGAUUAGAUACCCUAGUAGUC